rnacentral:rRNA from 1 species
AGCAGCCGCGGUAAUUCCAGCUCCAAUAGCGUAUAUUAAAGUUGUUGCAGUUAAAAGCUCGUAGUUGAAUUUCGGGAUUAAUUUAUUGGUCGUGCUAUUGUACGUACUGGUAUUAUUGAUUCCUACCUUCUGACGAACCACGAUGUCAUUAAUUUGGUGUCAUGGGGAAUCAGGACUGUUACUUUGAAAAAUUAGAGUGUUUAAAGCAGGCUCACGCUUGAAUACAUUAGCAUGGAAUAAUAGAAUAGGACGUGCGGUCCUAUUUUGUUGGUUUCUAGGACCGCCGUAAUGAUUAAUAGGGACAGUCGGGGGCAUCAGUAUUCAAUUGUCAGAGGUGAAAUUCUUGGAUUUAUUGAAGACUAACUACUGCGAAAGCAUUUGCCAAGGAUGUUUUCAUUAAUCAAGAACGAAAGUUAGGGGAUCGAAGACGAUCAGAUACCGUCGUAGUCUUAACCAUAAACUAUGCCGACUAGGAAUCAGACGAUGUUAAUUUUUUAAUGACUCGUUUGGCACCUUACGGGAAACCAAAGUGUUU